CCUGGGGUAGCUCAGUUGGUAGAGUGUCUGACUGCAGGCAGGCAGUCGGCGGCUCGGUCCGUCCCACGGGG